UUUUGCAGCUGCUGGUCAUCCAGGUGCCACCCUGCGGGAAGUUUGGGCAGCACGGAGUCCGCCAGCAUUCUACAGGAAGUUUGGGGGAGCACAAGGUUGCCUGCAGAAGGCCAUCAGAAGGGGAGAGUGAUCUGCCUGCUCCCCGCAGUUGAGAGUGCUGCACUGCAAGUGUUACCUGGUGAGGCCCACCUCCAGCCCACUACUUCUGGGAAAAAUGACUUAAUGUCUAAGGAGAAGGCUAAUUUGGAAGGGAGUCAUACUGGUACAAG
rnacentral:lncRNA from 1 species